rnacentral:piRNA from 1 species
UAUCAGACAUAGAGUUUCUAUGCAAAGUGU